GUAUAACUGUGCCCGCCUUGCCACGCUCUUCGAGGGUUACAAACACGGAAUGGAACAAGGUCUGUAUCCCACUUUCCCGCUCGUGAGCAGUCUGGAUUUCUCAUUACUCCAUGAUGAGGUGAGUGUUACUCGAUGAACGGCCACAAGCAGAAGGCUUGGGCUGGUCUUCCGAGCACUCUUGUCUCCCACAGGGUGAGUGGCUGCUGCUUUUCAACAGUGUCCUUCCCUUCCUGGACCUCCUGAGCCAGACUGUGAGCCUGGCUAGCACCCCAGGGCUCCACAUCCCUGUUCGCACGGAGAUGGUGUGCAAGUUCCUGGUGCAGCUCAGCAUGGAUUUCAGCUCAUACUAUAACCGCGUACACAUUCUAGGGGAACCUCGGCCACACCUCUUUGGUCAGAUGUUUGCUCGCCUACAGCUUUUGAGGGCAGUACGUGAGGUGUUCCACACAGGCUUGGCCAUGCUGGGCCUCCCUCCGCUGAGCCACAUCUAAGGGCCCAAUAGCUGGGAAUGUUUAUAAAAGCAUCAACUGGGAAAAAAACAAGACCUCACAGAAACCUCACAGAUGUUGGGCACUUAAAGUCAGAAUAAAUACAGUUUCAUCCUAUUGUGAAGAGUGAGGCAUAUUCUUGGUCCACCUAUGCAACACCCUACAGGAACCCAUGGUACUGCCUCACCUCCUCAGAGCACAUAGAGCAUGACACAGACAGCUGAUCCCUGCUCCGCUGUCUGUGGUCAAGCCCCAGGCUCAGUCCUCCAACUACUGUGGUAACUCAGUCAUACCAGUUGUAAACCUCGAGUCCCUGACCCGCAAGAGCACAGCGGUGGCCAAACUCAGGGUUCACAGGCCAGCAGUCCAUGUCAGCCACAUCUGGCACGUGGUACACAGUGCUAUUCAUGAAGGUGGGCUCACCAUUUCCAAGACGCCAGAAGGUCAGCCGUUGGUCUAUGGAGGCUGAGACCAUCAGCUUGGGACUUAGGAUCUUGAUGCCCGUCACAUGGGCAGCAUGU
rnacentral:lncRNA from 1 species